rnacentral:rRNA from 1 species
UACGGAGGAUGCAAGCGUUAUCCGGAAUGAUUGGGCGUAAAGCGUCCGCAGGUGGCUGUGUAAGUCUGCUGUCAAAGAGCAAAGCUCAACUUUGUAAAGGCAGUGGAAACUACACGACUAGAGUGCGUUCGGGGCAGAGGGAAUUCCUGGUGUAGCGGUGAAAUGCGUAGAGAUCAGGAAGAACACCGGUGGCGAAGGCGCUCUGCUAGGCCGCAACUGACACUGAGGGACGAAAGCUAGGGGAGCGAAUGGG